AUCAUUCCUAUAUUUAAAAUCAAGGGAAGAAAAGAGAAAGUGGUUAAACGGGUGCAUUACUAGGCAGGAAGCUGUAGCCUGACAUUUGGUUUUGUUUAGGGGACAGGAACUUGGACACCAAGGACAGCACAAACUUGCCAGCUGCUGACUCUUGUUGGCGUUUUGUUGACAUGGAGAGUAGAUACCAGGGAAGUAGGCAUUCUUUUUAGACUGCACAGUUUCUUUCCCAUGGGUUUAUCUACCAACCUCAUUCCUAACUGCAAAGUCUAACAUCACAGCUGAUGUAACUCUUCACUGAAUAGGACGGUUCAUAGGAAGGUGCACACAGAGAGGCUGAUUUCUAUUGUAUUAUCAAAGUAACUUGUGCUAAGUACUGCAUUCAGUGUCCUACAUACAUUUAAUUAUUCAUAAGGACUGUGAAACAAAUAAUGAUGGAAACAAAGCUCAGAGAGUUGAAGUAUUUUGAUUUAGGCUACACAUCUGGUUAAUUGAUGGAGACAAGUGUUCUUCUGAAUUAUGUUGAUUCUUUCUGUCAUGUUCACCAUUUUGUUAUUCAGAGAUAAUUUUUUAUUUAGGAAUAUGUACUAAGAAGAUACUUAGAAAAGGUCCAAUCUUCUUGGAGAAAAGGAAUUCAUGGUUCUUAUAUCCAUGGUGUACCAUUCAAUAAAUUGAAGACGAAGCUUAUGUAAUAGAUCUUAGUGGUCUGCUUUAAUAAUCUAUCUUCAGAGAAUCCUGUUUCUUUCCAGUACAUAGAUAGUUCAGAAUAAUUUAAGUUAGGUCUACUAGGCUUGUAUUUGUAAGUUGACAAUGACAUUAGGUUGCCAUCAAAAGUUUUGGGUAUCCUUCAUGAGAGAAACCUCUGUGGUUUUGAACCUGGGUGUAGACAUGGCCCAGUGGGAAGCUAUGUUUAAUCAUAGGCUGAGUAACCCUUACAGGGAUGACAGUAUGAAAGGGAGCCAGCUAGAAGACUUCUUUGAUUUUAGUCACCCCAAAUUUCUUUUAGGGAAGUACAGAAGAUAAAUACUUAAGAUUUUUCUCUUUUUAUUAGAGUACAUUAAUUAUAAAGAAUAAUGAGUUUCAUUGUGAAAUUCUUUCCUUCACUCCUUUCUCUCUCCCACUCUCCCUUCCCCCUAAUCUCCCUCUCUUUUCCUUUCCUUUUUUCCUGCCUUCCCUUCCUUUCCACCCAUCUCUUUCACAAAAAGUCUCACUGUAUUUUCUAGGCAGACUUUGAACACUCAUUUUCCUGUCUCCAUCUCAUUAUUAGUAGAGUUCAGAUAUGAGCCACCAUUCUUAUUCAUUUCAAUACUUUCAUGCAUUCAUUUAAUAGUUUGACCAUACUCCCUCUCUCUUGUGCUUGCCUGUUUUCUCUCCCCAGUCUACUUUUCUUCUCACACAGAAUCUCUUUAUUAAUGACCAGAUCCUCCCUCUCCCCCUCUCUCACAUCCUUCCCACUGUUUUUACUCCCUAUCUCAUAUUCCCCCUUAAAUGAUUCCUAUUUUUUAACAAAUAUUUUUCCACAAUUAGAAUUUUCUAAGCAGCAUUGCAAGACAACGCCUCUUAAUUUAGUGUAGCCUCAUUCCACUUGUAAAAACUAGAGUGAGGCUAUGGAGACCCAGCUCAGAGAAGUAAUGUACUCUCAGAGGAGAAUAUGGUUAGGGCCAUGAACAAUUUGAAAGAUAAGGAUACUCAUAGACACAGGUAAGAUUCACCACCAGGCAAGAAAUUACUAACCAUGCCUGGGUCACACAUAGACACAUAAUAAAUGGUUCUCUCUUUGGCAUCAGUUGCUACUAAAUUGUUUUCCCAUUCUUCCAGGAAGUGAGUCACAUAAUGCAGAAUGCAUCUAUGUUUCCAGGAAUAUCGUACUUAAGUUACAAUAACUUAAUUCUGAUAUGUUUAACAUCAACUAAAAUGAAAAUGCUUCACAGAUCCCAAACAAGAGAAAGUUCCUAAAAGGGCCGAGGAGCAUGAAUUAUUGCCUAGGGGUUGUUGAUGAGACACCUUAAUGGAAUCUGGGUAAUAAAAUCAAACUCUAGUGAAGAUGCAUUCUUAAUCAAAAUUCUAUUGCCACAGCAACAGAAGUACCUUGAAAGGGCUACAUAGCAACAGGCCAAUACUCUACAAAUGUCUAUGGUAACAAUGCAGAAAAAUUGAAGUUCAUGUUUUUUUUUUUUUUGAAACCUAAUUCCUGACUCCUUGCUUCACUGAUAUCACUGUAUAAGUUCUCAUGGUUUUGGACUGCACAGUGAGCGUCUCUCAUUGUUCCUGUAGCUCACUAUGAAGUAGUUUGGAUGUCCCAAGCCCUUCAGAUGCUCCUGCCUUUGCACCACAGACCGGGAUUACUGAUGCACGGCACCCUUCCUGAUUUUUGCUCGGAAGAUCUAAAUCCAGGACCUUAUGGUUAUGAAACAACACUAUCUCAGCUCCUCGGCAGCCUUUUCUUAAUAUUCUCCUGAGUGUGCAACCCCAGGCCAAUCAUCACACUAGCAGUUGCUGCCCUCCAGCUUGAGCAAAGGCUUAUCAGCUUUUUCCCUGUGCAACACCUGCUCAUCUCUUGAGACCUGGAUCAAGAUUCUCCGUGUGAAGUCUUUGGUCUUAUCUCCUUUCACUCUCCUAUGCAGAGUGAUAAGAAGAAAAAUAACAAUGAUCUACAAGUUUACCUGUGCAAAACUAAUGUCUUACACAUACAAAACACUUGGCCCAGGUAUCUGCUUGAGCUGUGUUCUCAUGCUGAUGCAUUUUCUCCAUUGACCCUCCCAGGAAUUUGAAUUUGGCAUUUAUAUUAUCUUCCUUUCACAAAAAAAGAAAUUGAAGGGCAGAAAGUUUGUCAUUUGCCCAAAGUCACAGAGUCUGUAAGUGCUGCUCUUGGGGUCUGACCCCAGAGAGUCUGGUGAAAGCAUUCAGCUUGUGAUCACGGUGGAAAGCCAUUUUUCAUUCAUGUCUUAUGAUUCCCUAGCUCAAGUCAGUACAGAAUUUACUACUUGUGUAGCAUGUGGUGAGCCAAGGGCUUUCAGCAUCUGUAAUAACAUCCCAUGACAAGGUAAAUGUUAUUUCCUUUGUUUUUCAGACUGAGAUGAAGAUAAUGUACACAUUUUCAUUAUUGGUAACUGACAAGAUUUCUCUUGUUGGCUUGCAGAUCUGAUUUAAUUCAUCUAUGUAUCAGUUAUGUAUCACAGCACUGGUGCCUGCAAAGCCUCUGUAGCUGUUACGUUAGUUCAUUUGAUCUCUAGUUUGUCUUCUUCCACCGACCUCUUCACACUUCUACUUUCCCUUCAGUCUGCAGUCUGUAACUUACCGUUUAGUCUAUAAUCUCCUUUCAUAGUCCACAGCACUAUUCAUUACCCUAAGGGACCCACAGACUCUCCUUUCAUAUGUGUCAUACAUAGCACACACUCCCGUUGUGGUCUAAAGUUAAUGAUAUAAUUAUUUGAUUGACAUCUAGACUAUCCACCUUUCCUCACCACUGGAAACUAUGUAGAUCAGACUCGUGCUUAUUUCAAUUAAUCUUUGCCUUCUGUAAUGGUUUCCCUCACAUAGUUUCUCAAUAAAAAGGUCUCGUGGUUGGCCAGUAGGGUGAACGAGCAGAUAAAAUGCAUGCUGCUCAAGUUGGAUUCCUGAGUCUAGUUCCUGGAAGCCAUCUAAAGGUAGAAGAAACAAUUCAGCUUCCAAAAUAUGUCUUCUUGCAUGUACAUGUACGAACACACACACACAGUGGCACACAGGUCCCACAUACACAUACAUCACACACAAGUACACAUGUAGUCAUAAAUAAAACCCAAAAUCUCCACAUUAGUAAAGAAAACAUUUUUAAGUGUACAGAUUAUUAAUUGUAACUAUUCUUUGAACUUAGAGGGAGGUGAGGGCUCUAUUCUCCUACUCUGUAAAAUGGUGCCCACAGUCAGCUUACUACUCAGGCUUUCCAAGUGAGUCCUGUCUUUAAUGUGAAAGAGUCACAGGACCAUUAACUACUAGACUUUCGCCUUAUAUAUGAAGUAGGAAUCUUAGUCAGUCCAUGUAUAGAGAAUCCAUGUAUAGUAGAACCAAAAGUGAGAUAACUACUUUUAACUACUAGACUUUCGCCUUAUAUAUGAAGAGAGUCAUUUCUGGGCAUGCGUUUCACCACACUUUACUGCAGUAAUCUCUUCAUGGGUCAUGGACUGACUGUAGGCAACUCUGCCUUUCUGGGCCUCUGUUUCUCUCUUGAUUGCUUCAGAACAUCAUUUGUGCCAAGGAAUUAUGAGCUAUGAGUCAGCAACCCAGGCUGGCCUUUGGUGUUUUUCCUUUCCCUGCUAGAUACUGCAGUUUCUCCCUAGCAUUAUUUUGGCUUCAUGUGAAUAUGAGAAAGCAGUAGUUUUGAGGUUUUGAGAAUGGAAAAUACUUCAAGUAUUAAUAACCAACCAGGCUCCAGGAUAGAAAGCAUUGUAUUACCCAGACUAAUGUAGGUGUGUUUCAUAAACACAUAUACUUCUUCAGUCCAAGUAGUCAUGAUUUGUCCCCUUCCAACUCAUUCAUGGUCUUCAUAGAACUCAUAUCUGGUCACACUUCUCUCUCCCUUAAUGCUCAUCAGUGGUUCCUCAGAAAGAGUAAGGCCCAGUGCCUAUGUGGCCACCAACAUUGUGCAUAGGUUUGAUCCUGUCUUACUUCCAGACUCUUCUUCAAGAUGCAUCAGUAGUUUCCCCAAUUUAUUUUUCUUUAAUUUUUCUUUUUGACUAAAAAAACUAUCUACUUCUUGCUGUAUCAGAGUUUCUGCAUAUAGUCUUCACUGCCCUGGAAGACCUCUCCUUAUUUUCAUGUCCUUUUUGUCUAGAUAACUCCUGCAUGUCACAUCCUCAAGGAAACCUCCUUUGACCCUUCGAGUAGAUCAGGCUACUUGUAAACUCCCACCCCAUUUUACCUAAAGUUUCAAGCAGUGCUGAUAAUAAUUGAAACUAUUUGUUACAACUGUUGGAUACAUAUACAUGUCCAUGAGACCAGGACCCACGCCUUUCCUAUUCAUGUGGCAUGAGUCUUCAACAUAUGUUUACUGCUAUUACUGUCAUCAUUGUCAUCAUUGUCACCAUCAUGUAAAGACCCACUGCUUGGUAUAGAGGGAAUGUUUGGAAUGUCUGGGGAUAGACAAAACAUCACGAUCAUAAAAUCCUCUCAGACUUAAUGCAUUACAAAUAUCAUACUUUUUUUUAAACAUAUGCUCCUUUAUAAACCUGUUCUCUUUAAUCAUUACCUUCAUGCUUUCGAAACAAGGUAUUCUAUUCUUCUGUGUGAUAUUCUAAUGGAAAAUUACAGUUUCUCAGUGGUUGCAGAAUAGUAGAACCAAAAAUGAGAUCUAAGAAGUGAUUGAUGUAUCCCAGUGGAUCAGCAUAGUCCUCCUGUGUAUAAUUCACACAGACAGGAGAAUGAGAAAGCUUGAGUCAUCAGGGAGAAUGUAAAGGUUUGCAAAGAGCUACCCAGAAUUCCAGGUAUCACCAGGAAGGCCCAGAGAGCAAACCAUUUCUUUUAAGUUUUCACUCAAUACUCUUAUCAGCUCGCCCAAUUCUGUUUACAUCAUACCAACCUCUUCAGGCUUUGGGGAAAUAACCUAAGGUUCAACUAUCUAUUUGUGUGGGAGUUGUUCAGCGUUAAUGGAAUACUGAACUCUACCUGUAGCACACAGAGAACAACCAGACAGUUCUCAGAACAGAGAGAAAUGUCUCAAAACAAAUGCAAGUACACUCAGGAAAUAGCUUCAAUGUCCAAGGUGGGUACAAUGCUUCAGAUUUAAUGCAAAGUGAAGUGUUCUCUAGAGUUCACAUUUGCUCCUUCCUGAGGUCAGUACUUAAGAUUAUAAAAGUAGCACUGGACUUGGUACAGUGCCUUUCAACCUGAGUAGAGAAGACCACUUUUUAAUUUUCCCAAAUGAGCAAUGUAUACUAUAUAUUUCUAGUUCUUCCCAUGUGACAUUGUUUUAUAUGCAUAAACCCUAUGGAUUCUACCAUAUUGAAUUGUCUCAGGGUUCAGGGAAGGUUUUGUAUGAUCUGUUCUUCUUGUCCACUAAUGUAUAAAUUCAUUUUAGAAAAUGAGUAUGAUCUAUUCUUCCUAUCCACUACUGGAUAGAUUCAUUUUAGAAAUUGUACCAACGGUGGUUUCUUAACAAUGAAGACUUUUACUCAAUUUAUUAGGCUUCAGCUAGAACCUGUGCUUUUUCAUUAACAACUUCAUAGACAGACUGGGAGGAGCAAAACUUUAGUUCCAACAUCACCACUAAAUGUGCUGAAUCUGCUUGAAUGUCUCCAGUGACAAGGAGGCCAUGCCGAGUCAUCAAAUGUUCUACGUAUUAAGUGCUACUUUGUGUCCUUGUCCAGUCAGUUAUUCCAUUUAUAUAUAAAGUGAUAGAGCUAAAACAGUAUGAUAUUUAUUAUAUAUAAGUACAUAUAAAUGUAACAAGAUUACUAUUUUCAUUACUCAUUAUUGCAUCUGAGUGACUGAGAUGCAGGCAAAGUUAACACAGUAUCUAAGACUCGCACGAGGGGAUAAGGUGGGAUUUGCCUACAACUUCACUUGGAGCUGUGACUUGAUCUUAUGUAGGCUGUGGCUUUCACAUCUUUGGCAAUUUGGCUUUUCACACCUGUGGUACUCCUUGGCAUGUCAUUAUAUUUAAUUUGUGAGUGUUAGCCUAGGUUUUUCUCACAAUUUGUGUUUUUGUAGCAGGUCCAGGAAUAGACUACAGGUCAACAAACUAUGGCCCAGGGACCACACAUCUGGUCUAUCGCCUGUUUUCUUAAAUCAUCCAAUUAAAACAUUUUAUUGGACCACAGCAGAUACAUGUCUGUAUUUAUAGAUGUGCAUCACUGGUCAAGUUUUGUGUAAAGUUAGACCCAUAAUUAUUUGUGCUACAAUUUUAAAGUCACUUUUAAAAAUUUUUAAAUUUUUUUUCAUCUUUAUUAACUUGGGUACUUCUUAUUUACAUUUCAAUUGUAAUUCCCUUUCCCGGUUUCCAGGCCAACAUUCCCUUAGCCCCGUCCCCUUCCCUUCUCUAUGGUUGUUCCCCUCCCCAUCCUCCCCCCAUUACUGCCCUCCCCCCAAUAAUCACAUUCACUGGGGGUUCAGUCUUGGCAGGGCCAAGGGCUUCCCCGUCCACUGGUGCUCUUACUAGGCUAUUCAUUGCUACCUAUGGGGUUGGAGCCCAGGGUCAGUCCAUGUAUAAUCUUAAAGUCACUUUUUAGAGUAGUUUUAACACAUUUCAGAUAAAGGAUGGUUGUCUUCUAAACAGGGCACAGUUGAUACUUACACAGUUGAUACAUAAACACACCAAGAUUGUCACAGACAAACAAGGAUGAAUAUUCACCUCAGCUCCUAUUAUACAUGCUUUAAAUUAGGAUAUAGAAAAGUAAAACAAAGCUUAUUGUUUCUGAGCCCUUUCUAGAAUUCUCUUAAGACAAGUGAAAUAAUUUCUCAUUCUCCAAUUCUCUUUUGCAUAUUACUUGUAUUUUCUUCACAAAAGGAGCUUUCUCCAUCUAGAGGUAAUCAGUUAGUCUCUCUCACUUCACUGUCACUCCAAAACCCCCAUGUUGGAUCAGCUAAGUUCUAGUCAACAAUGUUCCCUGGCGUGGGAUCAUAUUUAUUUUAUAUGAGUGUCAGCCUAGGUUCUUUUGACAAUUUGAGAUAUUGCAUCAGGUAUAAAUAGACUACAGGUCAGCAAGCUAUGGCCCAGGGGCCACAUCUGGUCUACUACCUAUUUUCAUAAAUCAUCCAAUAAGAACAUUUUAUUGAAUCACAGCCAAGCCCAUUCGUUUACAGGCAAUCUAUUGCUGCUUUUGCAUUCUGACAUUAGAGCCGAAAAGGUGUUAAAUAGACCAUCCAAUCAUAAAGUCCGAGAUAUUUACUAUCUGCCUCUCUGGAUAGAGCAAUAUGAAGUCUGAUUAGCUCUUCUACACUCAUAUUUCCAAUUUUCUUCUGGUCUGCUCCCAAAUCGCAGUGGCCACUUAGGAAGAACCACAGUUGCAGGAUAGUGAGCAGAGGUAGGCGUGACAAACCCGUUCAGGUUUCCAUGCACUGUUGGUGUUUGUAGGUUUUUGUGCGAUGGGGUCAUAAUCUCAUUAUGGGUAUUGAUAUUCCAGGUCUAGAUGCCCAUAACUAUGACUAGCAAUGUUACAAUUACAAUUAAAGUUGAAGCAACAGCACAAGACAAUCUGAACCCUAUUGCAUAGGCAGGUGCCUUGGGGACAGCCGUCACAGGUCUGAGUUUAUGGGAUGGGGCCAGACACACCUACUCACAUGUACUCAUUGCUCAUUUGGCCUUUCUUCCAAUGUCUCUCUAUUCCUUACCCUUUUGGCUGUAUGUAUUCUGUCUCAUUAGGGCUGGGAUUAUUUCUUUCUUUUGCCAUUUUUAACAAUGAUGAUAGCUAAUGCUUAUUGCAUAUCUCAUCUCAGCAGUCAAGAUUUUAAAGCCAUUACCUUGUUUAGCCCCUUUAACACAUGCAGUGACACAUCCAGUCAUUACUGCCGUUAUAAAGAGGGAGAAUCUGAAGCAAUGCAUGAUUAAGCAGCUUGCUCAAGGCCACACAACCAGAAACCAUCAGAUCAAGGAAAUGAACCUAGGAGCCCGAGAACUUACACUAUCAAUCUCUGGUUCCUUUAUCUCUGGCACAUACUGUUGCUAGUAUAUUAUUUCCUAUUUUUUUCUAGGACACAGAUUCUUUUAGGGAGAUCUCUUUGAGAAGCUAUAGAUAAGGCACACACUCCACAAAUCUGAUGAUCAAUUUUACCCAAAUGACUAGCGGCAGCUUACAACAAUAGGACAACGUACGGAUACCCUCUGGGUCUUUAAGUAAGAUGUUUAUCACAGAUAUGGGAGCAACAUUUGGAGUGUGCUGCUUACAAAAGGCAACCAUAUAUAUUAUUCAUUCAUGAGACACUAGUAACAUUAUGGUUCCAGCUUUCUGCUCAUGAAAGCUAGAUGGAUUGUCUAAGUUCCCUAAGACAUUCAUCCUGGGCCCUGUGAGGUUCAAAGACAUGUAUUCAACAUCUAGCAAUCUUGGCAGGAAGUGUAGAACUGAAAACAUCUCUCUUCUUCCUUACAAACAAAUUUUUACCUUUCCUGAAUUACAAGCCUGCACACAUUUCUACUGCUUUACUGGUCGCCUUAGCAUUGGGUUAUCUUUCUAUUCUACUUGCAUUGUAUACAGGUGAAAGCCAGAAAUGAAUUAAAGGGGAGAUAUUAAAGUUAAGUGACUAUAAUUAUAUGAUGUCCAGGCUAAUAGGAAGACGAGUUGCUGGCAUGUUAGAGAUCAUCUAAUCCAUUCACUUAUUUUUAUUGAUGGCAACGCUGUGUGUCUUUUAUUUAUUUAGCACUCUGCAUGUGUCAAGCCGUCUGAUAAUGCCUCAAUGUGGAUUAGGUAAUUUAAAGCACAUGGCAGCAACAAUAAAUCAAAAUUCCUGUUAUCAUCACAACUUUCUCAUGACAGACAUAGUUUAAACAACACCCACCCCCAUCGAAAAGCAAGUCAUUUAGUCUAGGCUUUGUACUUCACCUGAUUCCAGAUGCUCUGUGUCUACAGGUACUGCAUUAUUUCUUCAUCUAAGCACACUUAGGCCCAUAAUGAGAAAAGUGAAUGACUGCCUUCAUGAUAUACAAAUAAUGCAGAAGGGAGUAGGAAAAAAAAACUCAACUCUAUUCCCAAUAUUAUCUGCCACCUUCUCAUGUUAAUAUGGCUGAUAAAAUAAUUGUUCCUUAUAAUAUCCUCACCUACUGUUUAUGAGAGUAUAAAUUUCUGGUCUUUUUUCCAUCCUCUAAGGAAUAAUUUCCUGAUUUAAAAUUCCUGUACAACAUCUACAGAAUACCACGGUGGGACCCAUUUACUGAGCCUCUGGAAGUCUUCGUGUCUUUCUGUUUCAUUAAUAGCAACACGAAAGUGAGGCCCAUUGUCAUGGUCUCCGAGUUACAUAUCUGUCUUUAGACACCACCGAGAGAAGCCUGAGUGCUGUAGGGUUUCUGCAGAGCAGUCAUUGCGAUUCUGCUACAGCACUUCUGGGCAUUUCUUUGUUUCCUGCUUUUCUUUCAUGCAAGUCAUUCGGCUUUGCUCCUUCGCUGUUCCUGGCUCUAAUGCCUUCUUUUUCUGUUCAUCUGACACAGCCUAUCCUUUUCAAUCCAAUGAGCCUCUUCCAAUUGUCUUAUUGAAAAAAAUCUCCCCUAAAUCCCACUUAAAACUGACAUAUAGACCAAUGGAACAGAAUAAAGAGCCCAGAAAUAAAUUCAUGGAUUACAGCCAACCAGAUCUCAACAAAGGUUCCAGGAGCACCAAUAGGGAAAAGGACAAUCUUUUCAAAAAACAGUGUCUGGAUGACUGGGUAAAUGCAUGCAGAAGACUGAGAUUAGAUUACUAUCAUAUUGCAUACAAAAUUAUCUCUAAAUGCACGAAAUACUUAAAUAUGAUGCUUUAUACUAUGAAACAACUACAAGAAAAUACAGAGGGACUACCAUUUAACACUCACUCAGUUACUGACAUUUUGUGGGAUAUUUUUUAAUUCUUUAUUUUACAUAUAUGAAUGUUUGCCUUAUGUCUGUGCAUGACAUGUGUGUAGGACUUGCAGAGGCCAGCGGUGGGUCUAUAACUCCCUAGGACUGGAGUCAUAGAUGGUGGUGAGUCACCAUGUGGAUGUUGGAAAUCGCAUGUAAGUCCUGUGGAAGAGCAGCCAGUGCUCUUAACUACUGAGUCAUCUCUCCAGUCCUAGUGAUUUUUAAAAAUAUGACCCAUAAUGUACAGGCAACCAUAAAAAUAUGUAAUCAUAGGGUUAUUGUGCAAUGCUUGUCAUUUAUGUGGUUCAUGGAUGUCAUAGCUGGUAAGACUGUUGGUUGCUUCUCUCCUCUGGAAGCUUGUAUGCACCUUCUUGUCCUAUGAAACUGAGUCAACAAAGUUGGGGCAUUCAACUCAGUUCCAGCUCAGAGGUCUCUGGGCCCAUUUCUGAAGUGUUAGUCCUUUCUACCUCUAAGAAGUAACAGCUCUCUAACUGGACUUAGGACCUGUUCAACAGGAGAUUUACCAUGCUUGGUACUAGAAACCUAGCCAAUUUCUAAGUACUAAUGAAGUCAUGGUUAGUGAAGGAUAAUAUACAGUCACUAAGUUAUUAACCCAGCACAAACUCUAACAACAAUUUACAAAUAUUUGUCUUUAUACCCACAGGUAAGUGCAGUCUUUGUCCUUCAUCAAGGAAACUUCUCUUUGCCACAGACAGAGACCACUACAAAAAAACCAUAGUCAAUCGAACUGCUGAACCCAGUCCCAGUGGCUACAUCUACAAAAAUCACCUGCACCUAAAACUCAGGCAAUACCAUGGAAGAGAAGGGAGGGGUUGUAAGAACCAGAGGAUCAGGUCUUUACUGUUAGAUCAUAUCUCCCAAUAGUACCAGAGGCUCCAUCAUAAAGUCGUAUCAACAUGGCUGCCCAAAUGGUAGCCCCCAGCACAAGAGACUGAAUCUCAUUAUUUCAUUUCCCGAGGCUGGAGUCUGCCUAUGGAGUUUGCAGUGGAGCCACUGUGAUGGAGGGGCUCUCAGAGAUUCAGAAGAGAAGGCCUCCUUUCUUCCCUUCCUCUCCAGGGCAGCCUGCCAGUCAGGGUCUUCCCAGUUGUGUCCGUGGAGGCCACAUUGAAAUUAGUAACUGGGCUAGCAUUUGCUUAUCUUUUUUAUUCAGCACAUUUGCCCCAGUUAGAUGAAUCACAAGAGCAGUACAAGUAGCACUUUGCUUUGUGAGCCAAGCAUCAGAGGGCAGCAGUCAGUUGGGUUAGAAAGGCGCUGGCUUUCUCCUGCUUCUGCAAAUUGGAGUAAAUGCUCAUGUGUAAUAAAAAUUGCCGUAAUUCAUUAAGUUUGCAGUUGAGGAAAAAAACGAGGAGUAAGCAAUUUGGUUAAGGUUGGAUAGUGAAGGGAGCCAUGUCACAUGCACACAUAACAUUUACACUUGCAUGCAACCUCUCAGCAAUAAACUGAGAACAUGAACUGACAGGAUAGGUGAAAUCUAGAAGAGUAGGUGAGCUGUGAGAUCUCUCUCCCUGACCAGGUAGGAAUAGAGAUAGUGGGUAAGUGUCACUACAAUAUGGUCAUAGCGUAGAGAAAGAAAAAGUGGGACGUUGACUCAGAGUCUUGAUGUGAUUUGAUUUACAUAAUUAUCCGAGUUAAACAUAUUUUAUUAAUUUAGAAAUGUGAUUGUGGGGUUGAAGAUUCAGUUCAGUGGUAGGGUUAGCUUCUGGGUGCACAUGAGGUCCUGGAUUCACUCCUAGCUACAAAAACAAAAAUAAAAAACUCAUUCUUAGUGGUAA